rnacentral:tRNA from 1 species
GCAGUGGUGGUUCAGUGGUAGAACUCUUGCCUUCCGCGCAGUGGUGACCUGAGUUCAAUUCCCAGCCGAGGCC